UACGUAGGGGGCUAGCGUUGCCCGGAAUCAUUGGGCGUAAAGAGCGUGUAGGCGGCCACUUAAGUCCUGCGUGAAAUCUUGCGGCUCAACCGCAAGCGGUCGUGGGAAACUGGGUGGCUAGAGUGCGGGGGAGGAGAGUGGAAUUCCUGGUGUAGCGGUGGAAUGCGCAGAUAUCAGGAAGAACACCCGUGGCGAAGGCGGCUCUCUGGAACGCAACUGACGCUGAGACGCGAAAGCGUGGGGAGCAAACAGG
rnacentral:rRNA from 1 species